UCGAGAAUUUUUCACAAUGGGCGCAAGCCUGAUGGAGCGACGCCGCGUGGGGGAUGAAUGGCUUCGGCCCGUAAACCCCUGUCAUUCGGGAUCAAUGCGUCCGGCCUAAUACGUCGGACGUUGAUAGUACCGGAAGAGGAAGGGACGGCUAACUCUGUG
rnacentral:rRNA from 1 species